rnacentral:rRNA from 1 species
CCUACGGGUGGCAGCAGAGAGGAAUAUUGGUCAAUGGACGCAAGUCUGAACCAGCCAUGCCGCGUGCAGGAAGACGGCUCUAUGAGUUGUAAACUGCUUUUGUACGAGGGUAAACGCAGAUACGCGUACCUGUCUGAAAGUACCGUACGAAUAAGGAUCGGCUAACUCCGUGCCAGCAGCCGCGGUAAUACGGAGGAUUCAAGCGUUAUCCGGAUUUAUUGGGUUUAAAGGGUGCGUAGGCGGUCGGAUAAGUUAGAGGUGAAAUCCCGGGGCUCAACUUCGGAAUUGCAUCUGAUACUGUUCGGCUAGAGGGUAGUAGCGGUAGGCGGAAUGUGUGGUGUAGCGGUGAAAUGCUUAGAGAUCAUGCAGAACACCGAUUGCGAAGGCAGCUUACCAGGCU